AAAUAAAAAUCGAUGUUGUUGUCACCUUCGUGGUAACGCGUCGGAAUUGAGUCAUCUUACCUUCGGUUAAGUGACUUAAAAUUUUUACGCGAAUUCGAAACGUAUUUAACGUUUAUUGAUGGUACGUUUGCGAUAUUCCAAUAAUAUAUUAGAUGCAGUCAUUCCUAUGAUUCGCGUCUAUAACUUUUCAUU
rnacentral:misc_RNA from 1 species